AUUGAACGCUGGCGGCAGGCCUAACACAUGCCAGUCGAGCGGAUGAAGGGAGCUUGCUCCUGGAUUCAGCGGCGGACGGGUGAGUAAUGCCUAGGAAUCUGCCUGGUAGUGGGGGAUAACGUCCGGAAACGGGCGCUAAUACCGCAUACGUCCUGAGGGAGAAAGUGGGGGAUCUUCGGACCUCACGCUAUCAGAUGAGCCUAGGUCGGAUUAGCUAGUUGGUGGGGUAAAGGCCUACCAAGGCGACGAUCCGUAACUGGUCUGAGAGGAUGAUCAGUCACACUGGAACUGAGACACGGUCCAGACUCCUACGGGAGGCAGCAGUGGGGAAUAUUGGACAAUGGACGAAAGCCUGAUCCAGCCAUGCCGCGUGUGUGAAGAAGGUCUUCGGAUUGUAAAGCACUUUAAGUUGGGAGGAAGGGCAGUAAGUUAAUACCUUGCUGUUUUGACGUUACCAACAGAAUAAGCACCGGCUAACUUCGUG
rnacentral:rRNA from 1 species